CGUUUGUCAAAGAUCAUGAGCUCACUUCCAUUUCUGCCCUCUGUCGGAUAGAAUGCAGCAGAAAAAGCACAGUAAUCGUAAUAGCGCCUGGCCCAGGGCAUGGUGUGAACGUGGGCCACACACGAUUUAUUCAUUUCAUUGACACGAGUCCUCUGUGGGGUAGGGACUGGCAUUCACAUGUCACAGAGGAGGACAUGGAGACUUGGUGGGGUGAGGCAACCUGCCUGACAUCACACAGCAAUAAGAGGAAGCACUGGGAUUUGAAUCCCAGUCAGUUUGACUUUGGAGGCUGAGUCUUUCAGCCACUAUGUGGGAUGAUGUGCCUCCCACCGCUUCCAUUUUUGGGAAUCGAAUGUGAAGGAAGAGUUGAGAAUGAUGUUACGAAAACUUUAUUCCAUGAGGAUCUGACGUGCGGCAGCUGAAAGCUGUUUAGGAUAUAUCAAAUAUGUGAUAAUUGCUCACAGCCCUUAUAUCUCUACUGAACUCAGAAAUAAUUCAAGAUCAAGACACAAGAGUCAGGACCCGAUAAUCAUCGAAAGAAGAGAGACUUCACUCUGCCUGAUGAAGAAAGGCUGGGCUCCAGAGAACGACAUUCCCAGAUAUGGAGGUGUUUCUGAAAUGGAGGCUUCCUCACAGAGCAGGAGAUAAGCAAGAUGGUGACUUUCUGAGUGACGAACUUUCUUCGAGAAUAACAACAGCAACAAUGAUAAAACCCCACAGCGCCAGUGCCUUAACGCUCCAUAUGACAUACCUGGAAAGUUCUGGAGUGGCAGGAUGGGCUCGGUGUAAAGACCACUACACACCAUAAUCCCAUCAAAGACAUAGGAUUCCUGCUUCCCUGUGGUCUCGACCAGGACGUCCGUGCAAGAGAAGUCGGAGCGCUUCCUCACGCUGUGCACCUUUGACUGGGAAUGAGACCAACUUGGACAUGUGGCCUCUCUUCCUGGCUGCCUCCUGUCCCAGAACUUUUGGCCUCAUUGAGUGAGGUUGGUUAUAGCUACUCUCCCUCGGGGUUUUCUGAAAGAGUUUCUUUAUAGCUGGUGUUCCUACCAAGACCUUUUUAAGUAGAGACGUAAGCCAGCACGUCCCAGCUGUGGUCCUGAAUGUAGUUGACGGUGAGCCAACACCAGGUGCACCGUCUGGCGUUUUCAGCCAACCCAUCAUACCUUUUCCAGAAGGAAGUAAGGAUGGAAGGUCCUGCUGACUCCACCAAAGAGGCACACAGGGCUCCCCUCCAAGAUUGAAUGCCUGUGCCUUGCUGCCCCUCACUUAGCCUGGUUCUGGACUCUACCAAGAAGGUUCUGCAUAUGCUGAGUGUUCCCGGCUCCACUUACCAGAAACCGGAUGUGCUUCGUGAGGUCAAAGUGUUGUGCAUACAUCCUGAGGUACUCCAUGAUUCUGGAAUUGUGCAAGUAGUUGGGGAAACGAUCGGGGGAAGGGUAAUCGCGGUAGGUUGUCAUCUCCUUCGAAGUGUUGCUGGUGGCAGAUUUGUAGACACUUGCCCUGCCACUCGUAGUCUCCUCCUGCCAGGAAAAAGAAGAUACUUCCCAUCUUUUAGAAUACAAGAGUAACAGUUAAAAAAAAAAAAUCAAUCCCUUCACUUGUCAAAUUGUGAGGCUCCUGGGAUGAAUUCCUUCAAAGAAAGUAAAGUUGCUUUUCCAGUACCUUCACGAAGAGAUAAGAUACCUUGCCUUAGUUUAAAACAACAGAUAAUUUUGUUGAGGAACAAAGAGGAGAAUAUGAAAAGGUGGAAGCAACCUGAAAAGAAAAAUGUAUGUAGAAUACCAGAGAGUGAAAAUAAUCAGAGGAAGUUGGGGCUGCCUCUCUGCCCACUGAGCUCAGAGGGGUCAGAGUCCUGGCCAGAGGAUAUCCAAGAAGUCCAUGCUGUUUGUAGUGACAGAAAAGAAUACAGAGUGUUAGUACA